rnacentral:rRNA from 1 species
GAUGAACGCUGGCGGCGUGCCUAAUACAUGCAAGUCGAGCGAACGGACGAGAAGCUUGCUUCUCUGAUGUUAGCGGCGGACGGGUGAGUAACACGUGGAUAACCUACCUAUAAGACUGGGAUAACUUCGGGAAACCGGAGCUAAUACCGGAUGAUAUUUUGAACCGCAUGGUUCAAAAGUGAAAGACGGUCUUGCUGUCACUUAUAGAUGGAUCCGCGCUGCAUUAGCUAGUUGGUAAGGUAACGGCUUACCAAGGCAACGAUGAAUAGCCGACCUGAGAGGGUGAUCGGCCACACUGGAACUGAGACACGGUCCAGACUCCUACGGGAGGCAGCAGUAGGGAAUCUUCCGCAAUGGGCGAAAGCCUGACGGAGCAACGCCGCGUGAGUGAUGAAGGUCUUCGGAUCGUAAAACUCUGUUAUUAGGGAAGAACAUAUGUGUAAGUAACUGUGCACAUCUUGACGGUACCUAAUCAGAAAGCCACGGCUAACUACGUG